AACAAACGCUGGCGGCGUGCCUAAUACAUGCAAGUCGAACGGGGAAGCCUUCGGGCGAGUACUAGUGGCGCACGGGUGAGUAACACGUGGGUAAUCUACCUUAAAGUGGGGAAUAACCAGUCGAAAAGAUUGGCUAAUACCGCAUAAUGCGGCGGCUCGACAUCGAGACAGUUGUUAAAGCAGCAAUGCGCCUGGGGAGGAGCCUGCGUCUGAUUAGCUUGUUGGCGGGGUAACGGCCCACCAAGGACUACCGAUCAGUAGCUGGUCUGAGAGGACGGCC
rnacentral:rRNA from 1 species